UACGGAGGGGGCUAGCGUUGUUCGGAAUUACUGGGCGUAAAGCGCGCGUAGGCGGACCUGCAAGUCGGGGGUGAAAGCCCGAGGCUCAACCUCGGAACUGCCUUCGAUACUGCGGGUCUCCGAGUCCGGGAGAGGUGAGUGGGAAUUCCUAGUGUAGAGGUGAAAUUCGUAGAUAUUAGGAAGAACACCAGUGGCGAAGGCGGCUCCAGCUGGCC
rnacentral:rRNA from 1 species